UUUCAUACAUAUUUUAUUUUUGACAUAUUUGUAAUUUAGCAAUAGAAAAAGUACUAAAUGAUAAAUCCACUUAGUAAUUUCUAAAUUAUACUAGUAAACGGCUGAUAAAAAUAUUUCUCAUUUUUACACUCCCAAUGAAACUAAAAAUGUAGGGUUCUUUUUUCAAGAGAGCAAUUUCCACCCAAAUUGUUUCUUAGCAAUGCACAACCACUACUACCACUUAUAAAAUAAAGGUUAUGUUGGAUUUGCCAGCUAUUUUAGUUGGAAAGGAAAAUUUUGGAAUCAGGCCACUUUCCAUACCAAUUUUAGAAAUAAAAUAAUUUGUAAUUACUUUGUAUCUCCUGCUGGAUAAUAUUGGUAAAGGCAAAGAGUAGUUGUUAAUGAAGGUUCAUAUUGCAUUUAGUAGGUUUAUGUAGUUCCCCUUUGUGCCUAACAAGGAGCCAACAGUGAGCCCUCUAAAGUUUACAGGACAGAAAAAUAUCUCUUUGGCCCUUCCCAUAUUCUCCCCUCUCUGAAUCUGGCUGGAGGGCAUCCUGGGGUGUUGGUGAAGAGGUUCUAAAGAGGCUUUCAGAAGCAAGUCAUCCUGGUCUCUGUUGGGGAGCAGGGAAGCCCUCUUUCUAAUUUUCACCCCAAUAUACACCAAGUCAAGCUCUUCCUGGAGGCUUUGUUUCCCCAGCAUUCUAAGACUGUACCCCUUCUGGGCUUACCCAGGUGGGGGCAGAAUAACUCCAGGCAGUUGGAGGCAGUGAACCCCAUUCUUUCAAUGUCUGGAGCCAAAAGGCAUCCGUCAUCUCUGAGAACAAUCUGGGCCUGCUCUGUGGCUAUUGCCCAGCCCUGAAAGUGAGCUCCUUGGGACCAGGGAGCAACAAAAGAUCUUUCCUUCUCAGUUCUCUGACCCCAGGUGGUAGCAGUGCACACAAGGGAGGCUGACAUGCACAUGAUAUACACAGAUGAGAAAAGGAGAAAAGAAUAGGUUAUGGGGCAGGGAGGCAGGGAGGGGUCAUUAAAGAACAAGUCAGGGUGAAAAAUGAGGAGAAGUCAGGUACUCUUGGUGUGUACAGGCUAGAUUGUUCCAAGUUUUCCAAUCAUGUAAGCAUUUUGCAGGGUUGUUUAAUGAAACCAACAAUUUAAAAAAGCACCUCCCAUUUAAAAGCUAAAAUUCAUAUUUCUAAAGGUGACAGUGGAUUGAAGAAAGCAAAAUGAAAUGACCAUGCAUUGUAUGUUGAUGGCACAUGGGUUCUAUCUGACAGUUAUUUGGGCCUUUGGCAAGUUGAUUUUCCUUUAUGGGCUUUAGUUGCUCCCUCUGAAAAACAGGCUUUUGGAUAUUUUUUCCAAGUACCUAAAUCAUUAACCUAGAAUCAUAAGAUUAUAUUUGUAAAACUAUGCUAAAAAGUGGUCUGAAAUCAGAUUGAAAUCAUAAACUAAAUAAAUGAACUAAAGGAAAUGCUACAUUUAGGAAUGCUUUAUUUCUCAGAGGAAAAAAUUCUUAUUUUUUCCCUUGAACUCAUCUUUAAUUUGCUUUUUUUCUUUUUUUAAAGCCAGCAACUUGAUGUUCAUAACAUAUGUAUGUAAUGACGAUAAUAUCUUACAUACAGAGCUCAUAGUUUCAAAGCAUUGAUAAUAAAUAAUUUAGGUCUGAGAUAACAUCUUACAACACAAGCAAAUGAGAAGUGACAUAAUUAUUUGCUUGUCUAAAAAGUUAUAACUUAUUUUUUUAAAGUAAGCCCUUAGAGAAGGUGAACAAUUUAAUGACCUUAAAUUUGGGGACUGCCUUGUGUUUCAGCAUGGAUCACAGAGCUGUCGUAGAUAAUACCAAUUAAGCAGUGCAAGCAGAAAUCCAUCUGUCUUCGACUUUGAAAAGUAUAGGCAAAUAUAGUAAAUUUAAGACUCUCUAACAUUUAAUUCUCACCACAUAUGGUAUUGGUUUCUUAUUUCCCCUGUUAAAAGAAAAGGAAAACUAAACCCCAAAUCUUUCCUGGGUUUUAAAUUCUCUUACCAUCUUAGACUGAAGGACAUUCAGUUAAGUGACAUCAGAAUGUAACAAUGUAAUCAGCUAAACUUUUAUCUAAAAAUGCAGAGCAGUAGAUGUUACAUUCAUCUAUCUUUUCACCAACAAAUCUUGCUGAUUCCCAGUGUUAACUAAAGGAAAAGUUAUAAUCUAACGGUAAUUGAAAACAUCCAACAGACACUUAAUAUUCUUUAUAUGUUUUAGUUCCUUAAAAAAAAAAUGAAACAAUGAAAACGUUCACAAGGCUCUAGAAUUCAGUUUGCAAGACACGGAUGUAUGUCCUCUAUGUAUUAAAAUAAAACCAAGAAGCAGGGUUUUGCUGAAAAUGAGAACCACUAGCUAAAUCCAUGCUGGGGGCUAAUUAGGGAGGAGAAAAAGGAGGUGCCAAAGAGUAGUAGUUGGUGGUAGCGAAAACGAUUUGGAAUAAAGUCCUGCAUAACUAAAUAAAUGAAGCUAGCCUAGUCCGAGGAAACACUAUUGUUCCAAACUCUGGAGGAGACAUGUCCAAAGCUUUCAUUAUGCUUUCCGAAUAUAGUUGAGAAAGCAAGAGGGACCAUCUCUCUUCCCUGGUUUCAAGAGGCAUUUACGAAGCAUCCACAUUGGGACGUUCCAGGCCUGUUGAUUUACUGCAUUACCACCAUGUCUCUACAGAUUUAUAGAUUAUUUUCUAGGCUUCCCAGAGAGCCCUCAGUAAUCGGAUGGCAAGAAUCCAAGUCGCCAGGGUCUCCAAACCCAGAAUCUCAGUUAAGGCAGGAGGGGAAAUAGGAAGAAAGAGUAACAGAUGCGGAACUGCCUUCCCAGCCUGCAACACACAAUCAUCAGAGCUGGCCCCCCUGGAGCAGCUCCAUCUUGCUUCACACAACAAGGCCCAAAGGCACCAAGCAACAACAGCAGUGGCCUCUGGAGGAGGCCCAGCUGAGACCUGGCGGCUGAAGCAGCAGCUUGUCGUGCACAGGAAAACAGGACCAGCCUGCUCUGUUGCUAAGUCAUCUCAGACUGUCUGAAAAGCUAUGGGAGCAGGAUUUUCACUUAGCGCUGGAAGGGCCUGCAUCUUGAGCUGCAGCCAAGACCCCAGAACCCAGGAGAGCCAUCUUCAGAGGAAAAGCAGCAUCUGCUACGGUGUGUAAAGAAACGGCUCUGCUCACUCACUUGGUUGAUUCUUAAUGGGAUCAAUACAGUCAUUUCGGAGUUCCAUGCAAAAACCUGACCAAAUUAGGGAAUUAAAAAAUCAGGAAGCCAUGAUGUCUAUUGCAAAGGGAACACAAGGGGGCUUCUGGGGUUCCAGUAAUGUCUGUUUCUUGAUCUGGGUAACCCAGGCGUGUCCGUUUUGUGAAAAUUCGUUGAGCUGCUCAUCUUUGAUUUGUGCCCUUUCCUCUCUAUAUAAUACUUCAACCGAAUUUUUUAAAAAAUUAAUGUCAAGAAGACAAAUCUGAAUUUUGUCACUAAGUGCUAGUAGUGUAAAAACGAGUAAAGGCAGGGAGCCCUUCUUCAUAGCAGUACGUGGAUGCGUCUGUUUUCUCCAUAAAUAGAUGCAGCUUGUAUAAACCCUCUGAGGAAUAGGGCGCUGAAAGGAUGAUCAGAUGAGUAACAAAGCAGGAAGAUAAUUACGAUCCGAAGGUGAUUGCUGAACCAUCUCCCAGCAUGGGGCGCUGCCCACAAGUGGAUGGCCAUACAAAGGCAAGCCCUGAAAACUGUUGUACUGAAACCUUCCUCCCAUCAUAGGAUGUUAGCCAACCCUGCACUAACAUCAUGACAGGGUCAGAAAACGAGUGACGCUGCAGUACUGGUACUUCUGUCACUUAUGAGUGCUGUGACCUUGAGCCGGUUCUCUUACCCUUCCUGCCUCUCUGGGCCCCCAGCUCUAAAACGGGGUUGAUGAUCCCUCUCCUAGCACCACCACAUCGAAUGGUUAUGAAGAUUUUGUAGAUAGAAAAGCACCUCCUAAUAUAUUCCUAUUUCCCAGAAAUGCUACUUACAAAUAAUUUUUUAAAGAAAAAAAUCCAAAGUCAUUGAUUCCCACAAUAGCCACACCCAAAGUCAGUAUGUGUAAAAUUUUUCCAGGAGAAAAUUGUGCAAAUAAACUAAAUUAGAACAGAUUAGACCAAAGGCCUAUAUAGUCUGAAAAUGAAGGGUUAUUGAGAUGCUCAAAUAAGACAUUUCACUACUGAAAUAUCUCUUGUUCUUGAAUUUUUUGGAAUAAAAUACUAUGACUUUCUGCUCACAUUUUUUUUCUUUUUUUUUUUUAAGCUAAAAGGGAAAAUCAAGUGCUUUAAAGUUAAACAAAAGAACCAGGUCUGCAACUCCAGUCCCCACCCUGCAGCCUUUUGUUCUGGGGACAAGUGGCCGUUUCCAACUGCAGAGGCAGAUGACAAGCAUUUAUUUUUUCAUCUAAAACAAGGUUUUUCUUUCGUCUUUUAUUGGGGAGGGGGAGUGGGGAACGAGGGCUGCGUGAACGCCCUUUGUCCGCCUCGGGCUGCCGUAGAGACCGCAGUGCGGACUGCACCACGCCCACCAACCGGUGUCUCCCGGAGAAACGCUUCAGCACCACCCCAGGAGAAUAGAGCGCGGGCUGGGGCUGCGGAGGGACCCGGCGACCUCUGUCAGGAGCGAGGGGAGGGCCGGGACGCCAGGGAUAAAGGGAAAGGCAGAGACCAGAGCUGCCCACCCAGGGACUCCCAGGGCAACAAAGCCAGGCAAACUGAGAGCGGGAGAGGCGGUGGCCAACUCAGCACAGGCUGCGGACUCAGCGUGGUGACAGAUCCCUCAAGCUAGAAGACUUCUGUUAGGAGAAGCGUUAUCCUGUCAGUUGAUUACCCUGAGGUACGGUAUGUACAGGAAAAGAAGGAUAAACAAAUGAUUUUUUCUCUUUAUUUACUGAUUUUCAAAAUAAUUAAUUUAUUCCAAAUCAUUCUCUAAAGGUGACUAAUUUUUUGUAUCAUUACAAAUAUAACUUACAUUAUUCAUAUUGAUGCUUUCAUUUUUUCAUCUUUGGCCAGUAGUAUGGUAAGGUAUCCCUAGCUUACCUUGCACAUAUCUGGCCUCAGAACCUGGAAUGAGCCGUUUCUCUAUGGAAUCCAAGUUCCUUACGUGGGUAAUGGUAUUUGGAGACCCCUGUAUACCAGGUGCUACUACUAUUUUGAUCAUUGUUUCUAGAUAUUUUCAGUGGACAGAAAUAUGAAAUAAAUUGUUUUUCAAGUAUGAGUUCAUACUUAUACCUCUAACUCAGAAUCGGGACUACAGGGAUUUUGCCUAACGUUUUAUCUUGCAUCUGUAUUUCCUUUGUCCUAUGCCUAGAAUUCCAGUUUUCAAAGACUCCAAGGUGACAGAAUUAGAACAGCAGAUAGUUUCUCAUUUUUCUUGUUCCACAAUAUAUACAAAUUACCCUCAUGGUAGUUUUAGAUACGAAUGCAACACUUUUGCCAACAAUGUGAUUACUAAAAACAUUUUAAGGUAUAUAGUUUUUUUGUUUGUUUGUUUGUUUGGUUGGUUGGUUGUUUUUUUUGUUUUUGUUUUUUUUUUUUUUUUUUUUUUGAGACCGAUUCUCACUCUUGUUGCCCAGGCUGGAGUGCAGUGGCGCCAUCUCGGCUCACUGCAACCUCUGCCUCCCAGGUUCAAGCGAUUCUCCUGCCUCAGCCUUCUCAGUAGCUGGGAUUACAGGCACCCACCACCAUGCCUGGCUAAUUUUUGUACCUUUAGUAGAGAUGGGGUUUCGCCAUGUUGGCCAGGCUGGUCUCAAACUCCUGACCUCAGAUGAUCUGCCCGCCUCAGCCUACCAAAGUGCUGGGAUUAUAGGUGUGAGCCACCGUGCCCAGCCUAAGCUAUAUAGUUUUAAAGUGUAAUUAAUUCUGUUAUAUAUGAUCGUGCCACUAACUCAGUGCAUAGUUAUGUUCAUUUGUUUCAUUUUGUUUUCAGUUUUUAUGAAUUGAUUUUUACAAUUUAAUUUUGCUUUAUAGUAAUGUAAAAUAUUUACAUGGUUCCAAGGUGAAAUCUACAAAACAAUUUGUAUUUGGAGAACUUUAGCCUCUAUCCCUGUCCCCUCCAGCUUUCUCCCUGUCUCUUCCUGUGAGUAACAAUUUUUUACCUUGAUUUAGCCUUUCACUUUAAAAAUGCAAGUAGCAGCAUAUACAUACAAUUUUCUCCACUUUGCUUAUUUCAUCAAACACUAUAUCCCGGCUAUAACGCUACAAUAAUAUAUGUUAAUAUUCCUCAUUUUUAUUUAUAGCUGCAUAGUAACCCAUUAUGUUUAUUUACUAUAAUUUACUCAACCAGUCCAUUGUUGGUGAACAUUUGAGCUAUUUCCAGUUUAAUUUAUAUUGUAAACAGUAGGUCUAGCUAUUUUUUUUUCCCAUGCAACCUCAAUAGUCACCUUACUGGCAUCUGUAUAUCCACAAUGACUCACCCAAUCCAUGCUUCACACAAUAUGGAGAAUGAUCUUUUCUGAUCUGGUUUUGUUGCCCCAUCUCCACUUAAAACACAAAUGGCUCCCCAUUUUAGAAUAAAGACCAGACUUCUCAGUGUCACCUACAAGCUGGUCCCCAUUUAUCUCAGCAGCUUCAUCUGGCCCCUCCACUUGCCCUUACUUUCCAGCAUCAGCCACAAUGACUUUGUGCCAAACCAUCCUUCCCUCCAACACAGGCUUUCCCUUGCUUUUCCUCCUGAUGAGAGCACUACUUUUGUCCAUUUUCUGUUGCUGUAACAGAUUACCACAGACUGGGUAAUUUAUAAAGAAAAGACUAGUUGAACUCUAUGCUCCACAGGAGCAAAGAACAUGUCUAUCCCCACCCCCACACACCCUUUUCACACCCACCCAGCCACCCAUAUACCUUAGCAUUCCUCUUGCUCAGCAUAGGGCAUAUGCUCAGUCAAAGCAUAUUCAAUGACUAAAUGAAUGGCUUCUAUGAGCCAUGGUAGUGUGCUAGGUGCUUAAAGUACUUCAGUGAAUUCCCACUGGUAUUAUUUAUAUUUUUGAUGGCUUAAAGUCUGUAUUGAUGUCUCUUUCUCAUUUCUGAUCUCGAUAAUUUGUAUUUUCUUUGUUUUUUUCUUGAUCAGUCCAGCUAGGGGUUUAUCAAUUUUGUUAAUCUUUACAAAAACCUACAUUUGACAUUAUUGAUAGUUUUCUAUUUUAUGUAUGUGUAUAUAUAUUUUCAUUGAAGCUGUUUUUAUCCAUGCUGUUUUGCUCCUAAUUUCUUUGGGUUUUAUCUUACUUCCUAUUGUAGCUGCUUGAGAAGCUUAAGUAAUUAAUUGUCAGUUUUCCUUCUUUUCUGAUAAAUACAUUUAAGGCUAAAUAUUUCUAACUCCUGCUUUAGCUGCCCUGUACACAUUUUGAUGUGUUGUGUCUUUAUUGUCAUUAUCAUUCAUUUCAUAACAUUUUCUAAUGUCAUUGUGAUUUCUUUUUUGCCAUUAGUUAUUAUUAUUGCUGUUUGACAGAUGAAAAACUGACAUGGAGAAAAGUUAGACAAUUCCUCCAAAUCACAAAGAUAGUAAGUUGAAAACUUGUGAAAAGAACUCUGCUAUGUCAUAUUUCAAAGUCUAUGACCUCCCCUAUAUGGUACCUUCACUGAUGCUAUUGAAUUUAAAGCAAAUAAAGGAAAUGAAGCACAGCCCAAGUGUUGAUUGGUGGGAAGAAUAAAACAGUCAGAGUAAAUCUCACAUUGAAUGAACCUCCAGUGUUGUGUUGUUAGUUAGAAUUAAAGUCAUUCUCUAGAGUGUAACUUAAGACAGUAUGUCAUUUAAGGGUCAAGAAAUAGUCUGUUUACUCAGCAUUUAUCAGUCCUUUCUUUCCAAACUUUAAGCUAGCUAUAGAAAAAUUCCAGAGAGCCUGGGGAAAGAAACAAAAGGAAAAUUAGGGAAAAGACUUACAAGGUAUGAAGUAUUAGAGAACAUUUUAAAAGGAUAAUCUAUACGCUAUGUCAUUGAUGGCUGCAGCCAUUCUCUAUGCCCAUAAACUAAAUGGGCCUAACUCUUAACAGUGGCUAUUAGGUUAGUUAGAAGAGGCAUGUUUCUGAAAAUUCCAUAGUGAACUUCAUAGCCAGAGGAAAAUAUCUUAUACUUCUUUCUAUUCAAUCAUCCUUGACUCCGAAAGUGCCUCUUAUUUUCUUUUGGUGGAACAGUGGAAAAAAAAUAUCACACUGGAAGGCCAAUUGACUGAAAUCAAGUCCCUUUUCCUAACUGUGUGAACUGGGUCCUUCACAUCACUAUCCUUCAACAACAAGAAAAACAAAAAACAUCCUAUAAAUGUAUAAAGAAGAAAAUGAAAGUUCUUUCUUUGCUACCCCUAGUUCUCUUCCCCUUCCUAGAGGCUAAACUAUUUUGUGUGCAUGUGUGUGUGUGUGUAGAAUGUACACAUAUAUGUAGGGGAUUGGUUCUAGGACUCUGUCCCCUGUGAAUACCAAAAUUCAGGGACGCCUAAGUUCCUUAUAUAAAAUGAUGCUUAUAACCUACGCACAUCCUCCUGUAUACUUUAAAUAAUCUUGAUUACUUAUAAUAUCUAAAACAGUGUAAAUGCUAUGUAAAUAGUUGUUAUACUGUAUUGUUUAGGAAAUAAUGACAAGAAAAAAGUCUGCACAUGGUCAGAACAGAUUCAACCAUUCUUUUUUUAUAUAUUUUUUUCUGAAUAAUUACAAUCCAUGGUUUGUUGAAUCCACAGAUGCAGAACUGGUGGAUAUGGAGGGCUGACUGUAUACAUGUAUCUUCCCCAUAUAAAUAGAACAAUAUUUUAUAUACUGUUCUUCAAAUGGCAUUUUCCCUUUGAAGCUCUUUUCAAAUAUGUAAAAAUCUAUUUUUAAAAACUGCUGCACAGUAGCUCAUAGAAUGAAUCUACCAUAUUUCCUUUACUCUUUCCCCUCUUGGUGGUCCUUUAGGUGGUGUUUGGUUUUUUUCUAUUAUAAAUAGUGUGCAAUGACCAUGCUUGUAAGUGCUUCUAUACUCAUAUAUGUUUCUCUGAGCACAGAUGCCUAGAUCUAGAAGCCAAACAGAUGGGUUGAAGGUGAUACCUAAUUUUAACAUUUGAUGACUCCUGCCAAAUUACCCUCUGAAAAGAAUUUAACAAUUUAUAUUCCUUCCACAUCAUUGCCUCUUUCCCCACAUCAUAAUGUAAGUCUUCUUAUUUUUUACUCACCAAAGGGAGAGAAAUAUUUACUGUUUAAAACUGAGCACCUUUUAAACUGCUUUUCUUUCUUUAUUGGCUUAACUCUUCAAGAUGUGUCUUUUUUCUGAUUGGACUAUUGUUUUUAUCUUUACUGGCUUUUAGAAGCUCUUUAUAUAAUCUGGAUAAUAAGCUUUCGUCAUCAAUAUAUGUUGCAGAUAUUUCCUCUCAGUGUGUCAUCAGAUUUUGUAUUUAUGUCUAUUUAUUAUGUCUGUGACCAUACAAAUUAUUAAAUUUCUUAUAAGGUUAGGCUAAGCUUCUUUCUUUAUGAGUUAAUGGGGGUUGUCUGUCUUAGAAAGGAUCUCUCAUUCCAAACCUUAAAACUAUUCUCCUAAUAAUUUUAGAUUUGUUCAACUGAGAGAGUGCUUAACUCAGGAGAUCAAUAAAGGUUCAUAGAGGAAGAAGUAUUUGAAAUUGUCCUGGAAGAACAAUAUUUUUCAACAGGCAGAGAUGGAGAAAGGACAAUCUACAUGAACAGAACAGCAUGAGCAAAAAGAACUGGUAGAAAUAUAUUGAGCUUAUUCUUGAAAAUAGCUAGCAGUUUACUCCUCCUUUCUUUUGUAUACUAACAGCAGCACACUGAACAAACUGUUCUGUCAUCUUGUUUUUAUCACUUACCAUAUCUUUGAAAUAUUUCCAUAACCAUCAUAAGGAGUAUCCCUAUUGCUUUUUGAGCAAUGCAUAGAAUUCCAUUUUGUGUGAAUAUCAUAAUUUAUCACUCUUCUAUUUUUAUCACUCCUCUGUUGAUGAUGACUUCCAGUCUUUUGAUAAUAUAAACAGUGCUGUAGUAAAUAAAGUUCUGUAUAUGUCUUUUCCCACAGGUUAGAGACUAUCCAUAGGAUAAAUUUCUAGCAAAUUGCUGAGUCCAGGAUAUGCAUGUUUGCAAUUUUGGAAGAUCUUAAAAACUUGCCUCCUAUAGGUGUUGUACCAGUAUAUACUUCUGCCAGUAAUAGAUGGGUGGGCUGCUGAUGCCUCAAAAUGUAAGUAUUUUCAAACUUUUAAAUUUUAGCCCAUUUAACAUAAUUUAAAAAUUAUGUCUCUGUGUGAUUUUAGUUCCAUUUCCCUUAUUAUAUAUAAGACUGAACAUCUUGGCAUAUGUUUAAGGGCCAUCUGCAUUUCCUUUUCUGUGCACUGUCAGCUUAUAUGCUUUGCCCAUUUUUUCUAGUAGAUGGUUAGUGUUUUUCUUAUUGAUUUGUAUAUAUUCUGUAUUACUCCUUUAUCACAUUGCCACAAAGAAAUGCCUGAGAUGGUGUCAUUUAUAGAGAAAAGAGGUUUAAUUGGCUCACAGUUCCACAGGCUAUACAGGAAGCAUGGCUGAGGAGGCCUCAGGAAACUUAACAAUCAUGGCAGAAGGUGAAGGGGAAGCAGGCACAUCUACACAUGGCCAGAGCAGGAGGAAGAGAGAGAAGGAAGAGGUGCUACACCCUUUUAAGCAACCAGAUCUUGUGAGAUCUCACUAUCGUGAGAAUAGCAAGGAGGAAAUCUGCCCCCAUGAUUCAGUCACCUCCUGCCAGACCCCUCCUCCAACAUUAGGGAUUACAAUUCGACACGAGAUUGCCGGUGGGACACAAAUCCAAACCAUAUCAUAUUCUUUAUACAUUUGGGAAAUUAACUUUUUUCUGUAAUAUGAUUUACAAAUAUUUUUCUCAGAUUGGCAUUUGUUUUUUGACUUUUCAUAUUGUGCAUUUUGCCAUGGGAAGUUUUUUUUGUCAUUAAAUUUACCUAUUCUUUCAUUCAUAUGGCUUCUGGGUCCUAUAUUAUACUUAGACCUUUACCAUUCUGAAAUUAUGUAAGAAAAAUUCUCUCAGGGUUUUUUCCUAGUAAUUUUAAGACUUUACUUUUAAUAUUUUGGAUUUAUCCAGAUGUAGACUAUAAGAUAAGGAUCCACAUUUUUUCCCCAGCUCUACAUUUUGCUGCUAGAAGAUUUUACAAAAUUUUGCAAUUACUUAGUAACUUACAUUUCUUCCCAAUUGAUUUUGAAAUCUGUAAGAGCAGAAACUUUGAUUUCAUAUUUUUAUUCUCUCACAUGCCUGCCCUUUAAUGCACUUCAACCCCAGCCCCAAGUUUUGCCUAGUACUUGGCAGUUAGGUAGUUGUUACUUCUGCAUCUCUUGACUGCUGGGGAGGAAAGAUUCCACCUGAGUUAAGGCAAGUCCUACCCAGGAUGUGGCUGCAAAUGAGACUGCAAAGUUCUCGACCGAUGUCUUUUCAUUAAACUCUGGCUUUUACCAAGUACAAGUACCAAGUGAGUCAUACCGACACAUGUAGAGGAUGGCAUCCUGAGGGGAAAAGAAUUAUAGUGGAAAUAACCAAGGCUGCUUGGAGAAAAGCUUCUCAGCUGGCACUGCAGAACAGCAGCCACUGCCACAGCAAACAGCAAAACAAUAACAAGCUUACUUGCAGAAGGUGGGAAGCUGCAGACGUAAAUGCAGGCUCCCUUCCCAGGCUACCAGCAGUCCCUGGGGAUGAAGUAGUCUAAAUGGGCAGCAGUUGUGGAGUCCUCCCCGCUCACAGGAAUGGAAGAUGUCACUCACUAGCAGAAGUGCUCUGGGGUGGCAAUGAGGAGUACUGUCUUUGGACUCUGACAGGAACAUCUGGAUGGCACCAGGCUCAGGGAGACGGGUCUUGUGUGUCCUGCUAAGCACUAACAGCAAUAAUUGAGCAGCAGCAAUCUGCCUCACAUCAUUCUAGGCCCUAGGAGGGCACAAAGUUGGUUCUUGGCUCAGGUUAUCAGGAAAGUAACGUAUGUGCGUACAAAUAAAGUGUCCAACAGCAGAAAGGGAUGCCCUGAACAGUCCAGGUUGCACAAAGGAGUAUGGACAAACAAGUAGUUUCAUCCAGCUGGGAGCACUAGGAAAGCUCAGAAGGAGGAUGCCUCCAGGAGCCAGUGAGUGUAUUCUGUCACCAGGUGCCUUGGAGAGUGGAGGAUCUGGAGGGCACUUUUUGAGGCUGAUAGGAAGAAAGCAGACGGGUGGAGUGGUAGAUGGAAUGACGCCCUCACCCUCUGCAAUGUUCACAUUCUAAUCCCUGAGAUAUGUGAAUAUGUUACUCUAGCUGACAAAAGGGACUUUGCAGAUGUGAUUAAGGAUUUUGAGCUGGGGAGGUGACUCUGAAUUACAUGAAUGGGCCCAGUAUAAUCACAAGGGUCCUUAUAAUAGGGAGACUGGAGUGUCAGAGUCACAGAUGAGCUGUGAUGAUGGACGCAGUGGUGAGAGAGAGAUGUGAAGAUGGAAGGAGAGGGCCAUGGGCCAAGGAAUGUGGGUGGUCUCUAAAAGCUGGAAAAGGCAAGAAAAUGGAUCCUCCCCUAGAGACUCCAGCAGGAACAAAACCCUGCUGACACCUUGACUGUAGGACUUCCAACCUCCAGAACUAUAAAAUAAUAAAUUCAUGUUGUUUUAAACCA